CCACCAGUGUUAAGGCCAAUGCUUGCCACUGGCCUCCAAAGAAUGCUCCCUAUUUUUUAAUCUAAAUUCAGCUCCCUGGCGAGUUUUCUCUCAGUGGCUCACAGCAUCUGGCAAAUUAGUGAUGUCUUUAGGAAAAGCCCCAUCGAGGCUGUGUUCCCACCAGUGACGACUGCCAGGAACUGAAGCUGGUUCUCACUCAACAGUCUACCCUGGAGCCUUCUAUAGCAGGAACUCUAAGCAGCAGCAGUUGCUGUUUAAAAGUCACGGCUCCCAACCGCAGCUCACGUAAGCUGCCUCCUAGCCAUCUCUCUUGAUAAUGAGACCUCUUGGCAGUAAACAGGCAAAUUAUCAGCAGGGUCCUCUAUGGGCUUUCCAGUCUCAGAUAGCUAUGGCUACCCAAUAAAUGAUUAUGAAUAAAGUCACAUAAGCUCUUUGAAGAAAAUUAUUGCAAUUUCAAUGCACAUUUCCAUUCAGUGUUAUACUUUUGGUUGUCCUAUAGCCCUGUUCUGUUUUGCUGAAGGCCAAGA
rnacentral:lncRNA from 1 species